AACGAACGCUGGCGGCAGGCUUAACACAUGCAAGUCGAGCGCCCCGCCAGGGGCGCGGCCGACGGGUGAGUAACGCGUGGGAACGUACCUUUUGGUUCGGAACAACUCCGGGAAACUGGAGCUAAUACCGGAUAAGCCCUAACGGGGAAAGAUUUAUCGCCGAAAGAUCGGCCCGCGUCUGAUUAGCUAGUUGGUGAGGUAACGGCUCACCAAGGCGACGAUCAGUAGCUGGUCUGAGAGGAUGAUCAGCCACACUGGGACUGCGACACGGCCCAGACUCCUACGGGAGGCAGCAGUGGGGAAUAUUGGACAAUGGGCGCAAGCCUGAUCCAGCCAUGCCGCGUGAGUGAUGAAGGCCUUAGGGUUGUAAAGCUCUUUUGUCCGGGAAGAUAAUGACUGUACCGGAAGAAUAAGCCCCGGCUAACUUCGU
rnacentral:rRNA from 1 species